rnacentral:lncRNA from 1 species
GGUGAUCACGGUGAACAGAAGUGAUGGAAUCAGAAGAAUAAAACAGAAAAUCCAAUAAAGUUGGAUUAUGAGCUGGCUACCACUGAGAUUCACUGGGGUUCAGUCCUGCUGAGGAUUCUUUGAGUAAAUUAAUAGAGAAUGCCUUAUAUUGUCUCACCAAAGGACAAUUGAGUUGAUACACUUAUCUACUUCUUCUCAUCCCUCAUUAGUUGAGGGCUGCUGCCAGCUGUGUCAACACCUUCAAAAGUCUGAACUGUUUGUGCAUAAGCUAAAUGGGCUUUUGCAGUGUUGGGAAAAGCCCAGAGUCAGAAGAACAGAAAGACACUGUGGUCUGCAGUUGAGAAGGGAUGCCGGCAUUGCCCAUGAAAUGUACAUGAAAUGUUGGCAUUGAACUGUGGCUGCACAAAAUCAGCCUCCUACCUGAGAGUUUCCCAAUUCUAAGAACAUUCUGAUGUUCUAUGCCACAUCUUCCUAUGGGGUAUGAACAAUUUUUCAAUAAUAGCAAAUAAAUGAGUCUUCUCAGUGUAUCUUCAUCUUGUCACUACUGUUGAAGAGCGUGAUUCUCCUCUAGCCUAUACAUGAGCUUCGACUGCUGUUCAGUUACUCCAGUAAACUCCAGGAUACUUAUUAAUGAUGGUAACAGCAGCCAACAAGUAUUAAGAACUUUUGCUAUUAAACUGCCCUGCUACCAUUGGGACCAAGAAUCU